UGGGGAAUAUUGGACAAUGGGCGAAAGCCUGAUCCAGUCAUGCCGCGUGAGUGAUGAAGGCCCUAGGGUUGUAAAGCUCUUUCACCGGUGAAGAUAAUGACGGUAACCGGAGAAGAAGCCCCAGCUAACUUCGUGCCAGCAGCCGCGGUAAUACGAAGGGGGCUAGCGUUGUUCGGAAUUACUGGGCGUAAAGCGCACGUAGGCGGAUAUUUAAGUCAGGGGUGAAAUCCCGGGGCUCAACCCCGGAACUGCCUUUGAUACUGGGUAUCUAGAGUAUGGUAGAGGUGAGUGGAAUUCCGAGUGUAGAGGUGAAAUUCGUAGAUAUUCGGAGGAACACCAGUGGCGAAGGCGGCUCACUGGACCAUUACUGACGCUGAGGUGCGAAAGCGUGGGGAGCAAACA
rnacentral:rRNA from 1 species